ACUACAGGGGGGAGGCAAAGCAGAAAGAGAGGGUCGAGCGAAAGCUACGGCCGGGGGCGGGUGGCCGUCGUGAACUCGUUUUGUUUGGCCCUGUCCUUUGGUUGCCGCCAAGGGCCGAGGUCGCUCCGGCAUCCAAGGCGUCUUUUCUUGGUCCUCCAACAUCCCCGGCAAAACCAACCCCGGCUCCAGCGAGUAUGCCUGGCCCUUCGACCUGAUUCAUUCGUACAUUCUUCUCACGUAUCUGGCCAAGGUACAACUAGCUAGAUAUACAAAGAGAUGGAGCUUUUCCUUUCGGCCGGGCUAUUUCUUCUGUGAUACUGGUACAAGUGGAGGAUUUUGUUAAUUCAGAUGCCUUUAUAGCUGGUUUGGAGUAGUGGGCCUGUCCUGCCUGUGCGUGGUGUGGUUCUUGUUGGUGGUGGUCAAGCAAAUGCGGCGUGACGUGCGCCGUCGGGCAAUGGAAAAUGGGAUUUAUAUAUGGGAGGUUUCCAGGCCCGUCAGGUAGGCGAUGAUACAUCGAUCAAUCACAUCCCCGCCUGACUGCGCCGCAGAGGCGUGUCCGUGGCAAAUGGACCACGCGAGCCGCACAAGAACUGGAUUCGGUUUGACCACAGUACGUGUCGUGGGCAGACUUGGGACUUGAUAUUCCUUUUUCUCGAGGGGGGCUCGUGACUUCGUGGGCUCUGCAUUCAUUUCCGGCCUGGCACAAGGCAAGGCCCAGCUGGGUCACAGCGUCGACGAAUUGUAUGCUCGGACGAGUAAUUGAGCCCGUGCAAAUUUCAUGGUCAUACAAAGGUGUACAUUUAGUCUACCUUGGAUAUGUACAUUUGUUUGGGCGUGGUAUUUCUCAGUUGCGUGAUUUUUAAAAAAAAUGUCUUAAAUCGAAGUUGAUGAAUUAGAACCGUUGGAUUAAGAUCUGAGGGUCAUCCUUACUCUUCCACGUCAACUGCUCUCUAACAAAUCAGUCAACUUUUCAAUAGCAAAACCGUAUUUGUUUUUUUUUCAAAGAAAAUUGUUGCUUUUGUAUUUUACUGAACUUUAAAUUUAUUGUAUCUGUCUUUGAAUAAUUCCUUCAUCCUGUGGGUGAAUCAUGUAAAAAGAGGGGUAGGUGAUGUGAAUGGUUAGAUUUGUAUCUUCAGGUUAAGAAAAGUAACCAACUUACAAAAAUUCAAGUGCUAUCCAUCUGCUCCUGCUAGUGUACCUGAGAUAUGAAACAUUUUGACAUGAGUGAUCAAGCUCUGAUCUUCCUUUUUACUGCACCUCCAGAAGAGGCUUCCUUUAUAUAUAUUGCAACCAAAACAAUUACAGGUUUAUCUCAUGAAACGUGUUCCUCAACACCAAUGACUGAGCCUCUACGG